rnacentral:rRNA from 1 species
AUUGAACGCUGGCGGCAUGCCUUACACAUGCAAGUCGAACGGCAGCACGGGGGCAACCCUGGUGGCGAGUGGCGAACGGGUGAGUAAUGCAUCGGAACGUGUCCUCUUGUGGGGGAUAACCAGUCGAAAGAUUGGCUAAUACCGCAUGAGAUCGCAAGAUGAAAGCGGGGGACCGCAAGGCCUUCCGCGAGAGGAGCGGCCGAUGCCGGAUUAGCUAGUUGGUGGGGUAAAAGCCUACCAAGGCGACAAUCCGUAGCUGGUCUGAGAGGACGACCAGCCACACUGGGACUGAGACACGGCCCAGACUCCUACGGGAGGCAGCAGUGGGGAAUUUUGGACAAUGGGCGCAAGCCUGAUCCAGCCAUGCCGCGUGUGUGAAGAAGGCCUUCGGGUUGUAAAGCACUUUCGGACGGAACGAAAUCGCGCGGGCGAACAUCCCGCGUGGAUGACGGUACCGUAAGAAGAAGCACCGGCUAACUACGUGCCAGCCGCCGCAGUAA